ensembl:snoRNA Gm26408 predicted gene, 26408
CCUGCCCCUAGAGGCUGUGCAGGUAUGGCUGCUGUGUCACAUCAUAGGUUGCAGAGAGGAUAGAGGCUGUGUCUAUGCUCAGCGUUCUGACCUAUGAACAUCUGAAUGAUUAGCAUUCCCUGAAAAA